AUACGGAGGAUGCAAGCGUUAUCCGGAUUUAUUGGGUUUAAAGGGUGCGCAGGCGGACUAAUAAGUCAGUGGUGAAAUUUACAUGCUUAACAUGUAUCGUGCCAUUGAUACUGUUAGACUAGUAUACAAAUGACGUAGCUGGAAUGUGUUAUGUAGCGGUGAAAUGCAUAGAUAUAACACAGAACACCGAUCGUGAAGACAGGUUACGAAUUUGUUAUAGACGCUCAGGCACGAAAGCGUGGGGAUCAAACAGGAUUAGAUACCCUGGUAGUCCACGCUGUAAACGAUGAUAACUUGUUGUUGGGCACGUAGUGCUCAGUGGCUAAGCGAAAGCGAUAAGUUAUCCACCUGGGGAGUACGAUCGCAAGGUUGAA
rnacentral:rRNA from 1 species